GACGAACGCUGGCGGCGCGCUUAACACAUGCAAGUCGAACGGAAAGGCCUGCUUUCCCUUGUGGAUUGCGGGUACUCGAGUGGCGAACGGGUGAGUAACACGUGAGUGAUCUGCCCCCAACUUGGGUAUAAGCCUGGGAAACUGGGUCUAAUUCCCGAUAGGACUGCAGGGUGGUGCCUGUGGUGGAAAACGAUUUUCUAGUGGUUGGGGAUGAGCUCGCGGCCUAUCAGCUUGUCGGUGGGGUAAUGGCCUACCAAGGCGGCGACGGGUAGCCGGCCUGAGAGGGUGGACGGCCACAUUGGGACUGAGAUACAGCCCAGACUCCUACGGGAGGCAGCAGUGGGGAAUAUUGCACAAUGGGCGGAAGCCUGAUGCAGCGACGCCGCGUGGGGGAUGACGGCCUUCGGGUUGUAAACUCCUUUCGACCGCGAGGAAGCCACCUGGUUGGAAGGGUGGUGACGGUAGUGGUAGAAGAAGCACCGGCUAACUACGUG
rnacentral:rRNA from 1 species